rfam:Plasmodium ovale wallikeri genome assembly, contig: contig156
UAUAAAGCCAUAUGAUGAAUUCAAUGAUAGGACAGAAAAACAUUUUUAUGUUGAUAAACAAUCGUAGCUGACAUUAUUUAAAUUACUGAUGAGCUUA